UACAUGGGGUGCAAACGUUGCUCGGAAUUAUUGGGCGUAAAGCGCACGUAGGCGGUUCGUUAAGUCGGAUGUGAAAGCCCUCGGCUCAACUGAGGAAGUGCACCCGAAACUGGCGAGCUUGAGUACGAAAGAGGAUCGCGGAAUUCCCGGUGUAGAGGUGAAAUUCGUAGAUAUCGCGAGGAACACCGGUGGCGAAGGCGGCGAUCUGGGUCGAUACUGACGCUGAGGUGCGAAAGCGUGGGGAGCAAACAGG
rnacentral:rRNA from 1 species